GUGGCCCUGUUGGAGUAGGUGUGGCCUUGUUGAAGUAGGUGUGGCCCUGUUGGAGUAGGUGUGGCCCUGUUGGAGUAGGUAUGGCCCUGUUGAAGUAGGUAUGGUCCUGUUGAAGUAGGUGUGUCACUAUGAAAGUAUCUUUAAGACCCUCAUUCUAGCUGCCUGGAAGCCAGUAUUCUGCUAGCAGCCUUCAGAUGAAGAUGUAGAACAGUCCAGCACCAUGCCUGCCUGGAUUCUGCCAUGUGGGAACCUUUAUGAUACUGGACUGACCCUCUGAACCUCAGCAUUUGUUUGCCAGGAUCGAAUGAGACCAAUCUCCCAGGGGCCUUCUACGCCUAUGAGAAUCACGCUUUCCCAAAGCUGCAUCAUACUCGUUUUGAGUGAUCGUUGUUUGUGAAUCAAAACAUGAAGGAGCAGAUGAACUUUUGCUUGUUUUAAAAGCAGUCAGCGGGCCAUGGAGCACACGGGAGCUCUCCAUCUGCUUCUUGAUCUCGGACGUAAUUCCAAUCAUCUUCCCUGCAAAUGAUGGUGGGGAUUGGAGCAUCUGGUGGUAGGCAAAGGAAUGCAUUGCUCUCUGGUGUGUGUUUCCAUAUUAGUUACUGAAAACAAAAAAAGAUAAAAAUAGGAAGAUUGCGUGUAUAAAUAAAGAACUCGUAUGUUUUUUCUCUCCA